GACGAACGCUGGCGGCGUGCUUAACACAUGCAAGUCGAACGGAAAGGCCCUGCUUUUGUGGGGUGCUCGAGUGGCGAACGGGUGAGUAACACGUGGGUAACCUGCCCUUGACUUUGGGAUAACUUCAGGAAACUGGGGCUAAUACCGGAUAGGAGCUCCUGCUGCAUGGUGGGGGUUGGAAAGUUUCGGCGGUUGGGGAUGGACUCGCGGCUUAUCAGCUUGUUGGUGGGGUAGUGGCUUACCAAGGCUUUGACGGGUAGCCGGCCUGAGAGGGUGACCGGCCACAUUGGGACUGAGAUACGGCCCAGACUCCUACGGGAGGCAGCAGUGGGGUAUAUUGCACAAUGGGCGGAAGCCUGAUGCAGCAACGCCGCGUGCGGGAUGACGGCCUUCGGGUUGUAAACCGCUUUCGCCUGUGACGAAGCGUGAGUGACGGUAAUGGGUAAAGAAGCACCGGCUAACUACGUGCCAACAGCCGCGGUGAUACGUAGGGUGCGAGCGUUGUCCGGAUUUAUUGGGCGUAAAGGGCUCGUAGGUGGUUGAUCGCGUCGGAAGUGUAAUCUUGGGGCUUAACCCUGAGCGUGCUUUCGAUACGGGUUGACUUGAGGAAGGUAGGGGAGAAUGGAAUUCCUGGUGGAGCGGUGGAAUGCGCAGAUAUCAGGAGGAACACCAGUGGCGAAGGCGGUUCUCUGGGCCUUUCCUGACGCUGAGGAGCGAAAGCGUGGGGAGCGAACAGGCUUAGAUACCCUGGUGGUCCACGCUGUAAACGGUGGGUACUAGGUGUGGGGUCCAUUCCACGGGUUCCGUGCCGUAGCUAGCGCUUUAAGUACCCCGCCUGGGGAGUACGGCCGCAAGGCUAAAACUCAAAGGAAUUGACGGGGCCCCGCACAGGCGGCGGAGCAUGCGGAUUAAUUCGAUGCAACGCGUAGAACCUUACCUGGGUUUGACAUGGAUCGGGAGUGCUCAGAGAUGGGUGUGCCUCUUUUGGGGUCGGUUCACAGGUGGUGCAUGGCUGUCGUCAGCUCGUGUCGUGAGAUGUUGGGUUAAGUUCCCGCAACGAGCGCAACCCUUGUUCACUGUUGCCAGCACGUUAUGGUGGGGACUCAGUGGAGACCGCCG
rnacentral:rRNA from 1 species